ACAAAAUUCAUUACUAAUAUUAUUAACGAUUUGUGUGUGUGUGGAGUGGAGUUUUGCCUGCCAAUUUGUUCUUUUCUUUUGUUAUACUUAUUAUGUAUCUGCUGCAAUGUAAUAUUACUAAUAUCAUUCGUUACCCAACCAACUUGGUUUUAUAAUUUCGUAGUUUGUAAUAAUUGUUCACGGAUGUUCCCCAGUGUGGCGCCAGAGCAGAGUACCAGCAGCUGUGUGCUGUUGUUGGGCUCUGGCAAAGCGAUGGUGGGAUGCGCCAGUAAUGCCUCCUUGAUCUUGAUUUUCGUUUUGUAAAUUCUCAAUCACAUAGCUGCGGGGCCACAAACCGGUGUCAAAGGUUCGCUCUCGAUUCGGCGUAGUGCCUACAACUUGAUGUUGAUGGUGAAUUUUCUGAUUGACGAACGGAAGCCAACCCAAAAUACCGACCAGGAGGAGGCGAAUGCCAAACGAGCUCAAGAGAACGGAAAGUGUUGAAUGUUGACACGGAAUUGGUUCUUCCUUUUCUUUGGUUUUUCUUUUCUCGUUUCUCGUUUUUCGUUUCUUUUCUCGCAUCUCCUGUACAUAGCAUAGCAUAGCUAUCCUUUUUGUAUGCACACACAGCACACUUAGUAAAUGUUUCUCGAUGUACGAACUGAAAUAUGGAAAAUAAAUUAAUUUCUCCCAAGA